AAUCUGUAAUCUUCGAGCCACACUGGGUUGGUGGUACCCUGGAGCACACCAGACUUGCAGAAAAAGCAUACUUCAGGGGACGCUGAGGCAUGCCUGCUCAAGAGCCAGCGGUUCCAUGUGCAAUUUUCCCCUGAUAGUUCUUAGAUUCAUUGAUUUCAGGUAAAUCAGAGGGACAAGCAUCAUGAACAGAAAUGUAUAGAAAUGCUUUUAUACUGAAGUAUAAGU